UACGUAGGGCGCAAGCGUUGUCCGGAAUUAUUGGGCGUAAAGAGCUCGUAGGUGGCUUGUCGCGCCUGCUGUGAAAACCUAAGGCUCAACCUUGGGCUUGCAGUGGGUACGGGCAGACUAGAGUGCGGUAGGGGUGACUGGAAUUCCUGGUGUAGCGGUGAAAUGCGCAGAUAUCAGGAGGAACACCGGUGGCGAAGGCGGGUCUCUGGGCCGAUACUGACGCUGAGGAGCGAAAGCGUGGGGAGCGAACAGG
rnacentral:rRNA from 1 species